UUUUAGGUUUUGUUUUGGGGCAAGCGUUUUCUUUCUUUGAGGAUUUGGGAGAUUUUUUCGAGCAAGAAACUGAGCAAUAGUGAUUGUGUUUUUGGUUCUCAUGGGUUUAGUUGGUGGUUUUGGUUGAGAGAGUGGUUCUUUUAGGUUUGGAGAAGGAGAAACGAUGUCAUUUAACGAUCUCCGUUUUUGAUGGGGAGGAGUUGCGUGUGAAGGUUCAGAAGAGAAAGCCGAUUUUGAGGGUGUCGAAGGGUUAGUAGUCGUUGGUGGAUUUUGUGGUGAAGGUGUUGGUACUGUAGGCAUCGUGUGUCUUUGUGGUUCAGAUUGUGUUGGAGAUUUUUCUACCGGAGGACACGAUUCAGAAGAG
rnacentral:lncRNA from 1 species